GCUACGGACAAAGGGCAGGAAACUCGCGAGAGCUAGCAAAUCCCAUAAACCGUGGCUCAGUUCAGAUCGUAGGCUGCAACUCGCCUACGUGAAGGAGGAAUCGCUAGUAAUCGCAGGUCAGCAUACUGCGGUGAAUACGUUCCCGGGCCUUGUACACACCGCCCGUCACACCAUGGAAGUUGGCCACGCCCGAAGCCGUUACUCCAACCCUUGUGGAGGAGGACGUCGAAGGUGGUGCUGAUGACUGGGGUGAAGUCGUAACAAGGUAGCCGUACCGGAAGGUGCGGCUGGAUCACCUCCUAA
rnacentral:rRNA from 1 species